GAUGAAGAACGUAGCAAAAUGCGAUACUUGGUGUGAAUUGCAGAAUCCCGUGAACCAUCGAGUUUUUGAACGCAAGUUGCGCCCGAAGCCUUUUGGCCGAGGGCACGUCUGCCUGGGCGUCACGCAUCGCGUCGCCCCCCACAAUUCUCCGUAAAGGGAACAUGUGUUUUGGGGGCGGAUAUUGGUCUCCCGUGCUCAUGGCGUGGUUGGCCGAAAUAGGAGUCCUUUCGAUGGACGCACGAACUAGUGGUGGUCGUAAAAAACCUCGUCUUUUGUUUCGUGCUGUUGGUCGCAAGGUAAACUCUUUAAAAACCCCAAUGUGUCGUCUCUUGACGACGCUUCGACCGCGACCCCAGGUCAGGCGGGACUACCCGCUGAGUUUAAGCAUAUCAAUAAGCGGAGGA
rnacentral:misc_RNA from 1 species